rnacentral:rRNA from 1 species
GACGAACGCUGGCGGCGUGCUUAACACAUGCAAGUCGAGCGGUAAGGCCCUUUCGGGGGUACGACGAGCGGCGAACGGGUGAGUAACACGUGGGUGACCUGCCCUCAGCUCUGGGAUAAGCCUGGGAAACCGGGUCUAAUACCGGAUAUGACUCCAUGACGCAUGUUGUGGGGUGGAAAGCCUUGUGCGGCUGAGGAUGGGCCCGCGGCCUAUCAGCUUGUUGGUGGGGUGAUGGCCUACCAAGGCGACGACGGGUAGCCGGCCUGAGAGGGCGACCGGCCACACUGGGACUGAGACACGGCCCAGACUCCUACGGGAGGCAGCAGUGAGGAAUAUUGCGCAAUGGGCGAAAGCCUGACGCAGCGACGCCGCGUGGGGA